rnacentral:rRNA from 1 species
UACGUAGGUCCCGAGCGUUGUCCGGAUUUAUUGGGCGUAAAGCGAGCGCAGGUGGUUUAUUAAGUCUGGUGUAAAAGGCAGUGGCUCAACCAUUGUAUGCAUUGGAAACUGGUAGACUUGAGUGCAGGAGAGGAGAGUGGAAUUCCAUGUGUAGCGGUGAAAUGCGUAGAUAUAUGGAGGAACACCGGUGGCGAAAGCGACUUUCUGGACAGUAACUGACGUUGAGGCACGAAAGUGUGGGGAGCAAACAGG